UACGGAGGGUGCAAGCGUUAAUCGGAAUUACUGGGCGUAAAGCGUGCGUAGACGGUUAUGUAAGUCAGGUGUGAAAGCCCCGGGCUCAACCUGGGAAUGCCAUUUGAGACUGCAUAGCUAGGGUACGGAAGAGGGAAGCGGAAUUUCAGGUGUAGCGGUGAAAUGCGUAGAUAUCUGAAGGAACACCAGUGGCGAAAGCGGCUUCCUGGUCCAGUACCGACGUCAGGCACGAAAGCGUGGGGAGCAAACAGG
rnacentral:rRNA from 1 species